rnacentral:rRNA from 1 species
AUUGAACGCUGGCGGCGUGCUUAACACAUGCAAGUCGAUCGGUAACGCGGGGGCAACCCUGGCGACGAGAGGCGGACGGGUGAGGAACGCUUGGGAAUCUGCCCUUCAGCGGGGGACAACACGGGGAAACUCGUGCUAAUACCGCAUACGCUCCACGGAGGAAAGCCGGGGACCGCAAGGCCUGGCACUGAAGGAUGAGCCCAAGCCGGAUUAGCUAGUUGGCGGGGUAACGGCCCACCAAGGCGACGAUCCGUAGCUGGUCUGAGAGGACGAUCAGCCACACUGGACUGAGACACGGCCCAGACUCCUACGGGAGGCAGCAGUGGGGAAUAUUGGACAAUGGGGGAAACCCUGAUCCAGCGACGCCGCGUGGGUGAAGAAGGCCUGCGGGUUGUAAAGCCCUUUCGGUAGGGACGAAAGCCUCCGACCUAACACGUCGGGGGGUUGACUUAACCUACAGAAGAAGCACCGGCUAACUCUGUGCCAGCAGCCGCCGUAACAC